rnacentral:tRNA from 1 species
GGUGGGGUACCGAAGCGGUCAAACGGGGCAGACUGUAAAUCUGCUGUCAACGACUUCCUUGGUUCGAAUCCAAGCCCCACCACCA